GUUGAUCCUGCCGGACCCGACUGCUAUUUGGGUGAGGAUAAGCCAUGCGAGUUGAAUGGGAUACCUAAAGUUCCCAUAGCAAACUGCUCAGUAACACAUGAUCAACUUACCCUAUAGAGAAAAAUAACCUCGGGAAACUGAGGAUAAUGUUUCAUAACUGAAUUGGCUUGGAAAAGUUUUUCAGUGAAAGGGAUAAAAUAAAUGGUUUUUAUCUGCUAUAGGAUAGGAUCGUGUUCGAUUAUGGUUGUUGGUGAGGUAAUGGCUCACCAAGCCGAUAAUCGAUAGGGGCCGUGAGAGCGGGAGCCCCGAGAUGGGUACUGAGACAACGACCCAGGCCUUACGAGGCGCAGCAGGCGCGAAACCUCCGCAAUACACGAAAGUGUGACGGGGUUACCCAAAGUGUUCAAUUUUGAACUGUGGUAGGUGAGUAAUGUUCCCUACUAGAAAGGAGAGGGCAAGGCUGGUGCCAGCCGCCGCGGUAAAACCAGCUCUUCAAGUGGUCGGGAUAAUUAUUGGGCUUAAAGUGUCCGUAGCCGGUUUAGUAAGUUCCUGGUAAAAUCGGGUAGCUUAACUAUCUAUAUGCUAGGAAUACUGCUAUACUAGAGGGCGGGAGAGGUCUGAGGUACUACAGGGGUAGGGGUGAAAUCUUAUAAUCCUUGUAGGACCACCAGUGGCGAAGGCGUCAGACUGGAACGCGCCUGACGGUGAGGGACGAAAGCCAGGGGAGCGAACCGGAUUAGAUACCCGGGUAGUCCUGGCCGUAAACGAUGCAUACUAGGUGAUGGCACGGCCAUGAGCCGUGUCAGUGCCGUAGGGAAACCGUUAAGUGUGCCGCCUGGGAAGUACGGUCGCAAGGCUAAAACUUAAAGGAAUUGGUGGGGGAGCACCACAAGGGGUGAAGCCUGCGGGUUCAAUUGGAUUCAACGCCGGAAUCACUAGUGCGGCCGCCU
rnacentral:rRNA from 1 species